ensembl:lncRNA
UGGUGCCAAUGGUGUGAGUUAGUGAGAUCUUGGAGAUUUCUUCUUCAAUCUUGGAGAAUGACUAUUACUGAAAAUGAACAUUUCUCCGUCUCAUCAUUUCACUCUAUUAAUUCAGGUAUAUAAUGUGCAAAGUGCCAUGUGACUCAAAAUAUUGAGGUAACAUGGUUAAUUAGAUUGACCAUGAGUUUGGUGAUGUUUGAAGGCAAUUGAAGGGAGUUUUCACAGAGUGAAAAACUGGUUGGUAUUUUUCCCAUUGUAAGUAAAUGUGCUUUGCGAAGUUGCUAAUGGUUCACAUGUAAGAGAAAGGAUUAAGAUGGCGUCUGAACGUUCUGUACUUUUUUUUUCACAAAAGUUUAUUUUCUAUGAACAAAGGCUCAGUUUACUUGAGGUAUUAUGUAAAUAUGUGAUGAGACGAUAAAAUGUGUUAGUGUCAAUAUUAGUACAAGAAUAAGAGUUUAACAGUUCGCUAGCUUGAUGCUAACCAAAUUGAGCGUGGCUAAGUGUUGGUUAGCUCUAGGCUAGUUGGUGUCAGUGAAUGUCAGCGGUUAAUAAUGUAAUGGUUGUAGCAUUGUUUUGCAUAGGCCUCCAAUAAUUUAGCGUUUGUUUUUGAAAUUGACACUUGAGUACAAUAUAUCAUGUGUAGCUGUAUGGUGACUCCAGGUUUGGAUGUACGGACCAAUGGGACUGCCACGGGUACCUGGAAUGGUGGGAGGACAAUCUGAAGGUAAUUAUCGUUGCACACAACGGUAGCGUCCAGGCCUCCAGAGUUCUCACCUUAUCGCCUGAUGUACGGACAGGAGCCACAGCUGUUUACUGAGGUAGACAAUGCAAUUGUAUAUACAAUUAUUGCAUAUACUGUAGUAUAAAAAUUGUGUGAUUGACUUAGCUCUAGUGAUUUUUUUUCUAUUGCUAUUUUUGUAUAACGUACUUUGAGGUCACUGAAACUCCACCUGAUGUGAUAGAAGUUGUCAAACCAGAUCAGAACACCUUCGAGGACCACCUUCAGGCACGGGAUGUGGAGAUUUUUGACCAGGUGAGACUGUACAUGGACAAGGCACAGGAGAAACAGAAGGAAAGCCACCAGAUGAGAAUCAAGGGGACCAAGUGCUUCGACAUCCGGGCGAAUGACUUGGCUUGGAAGAAGGACAAAAGGAAGGCGAGACCUGGGAAACCUUGCUGCUCUUUCGCUUCUGGCUGGGGUCCCCAUCUGUUAAGGUAAAUAUAAAAAUCUGAUAAUCAGAUGAUAACUAUUUGCAUUUGCCUUCUCGUAUUGGGUGGCAUCGCCAUACUGUCAGAAGUACCAAAACUGGCCCAGGGGUUUCUCCAAAUAGUCCAUCUCAAGGCUAACCACUGGGUCACGUUAAGUAACCGCCACUUCCAGGUGGCUUCCUUUCUAUCCUUUCUUUUGUCUGCCAUUUAACAUUAUUGCAUAUUUAAUCAAACAUUUACAUUUUUUUAUUUUUUUAUUUCACCUUUAUUUAACCAGGUAGGCUAGUUGAGAACAAGUUCUCAUUUGCAACUGCGACCUGCCCAAGAUAAAGCAUAGCAGUGUGAACAGACAACACAGAGUUACACAUGGAGUAAACAUGUCAUUCAAUAACUGUAUUUUUACAUACAGUACCUGAUAAACCUGCAACCUGUGUGUUUGCUUGUUAACGUCUGUCUCCUACCCUGUUCCCUUCACUCUGCUCCUUUUCUCCAGGACCUAGGGGUUCUGCCUAAAACCCAGACAUGGAUCCACUUGAUCCUCCUUUACCAACCACCCUCCAACUUUUCAUUGCAUCAGCUACUCUUAUUGUCAUGUGGUCAUUAUCUGCUAAGAAAGAGCAAGAAAAUGAUCUUACUGGGCACAUAAUGUGAGAUGCACAGAUAAGCUAAAAACACUAGCACUGCAAACACUCAGAACAAAGAGAGCAGCAGCGCCUGGACUUUGCAGUUUCCCUCUUCGAGUCCCCCUUCCGAGACUGACUGCCUGUUGAAAACAAGUGACAGGCUGAAUCUCCCAUCCACACAGCACCCACCUCCUCUCCAUUCCACACGCCAGAAUUCAGUAUUUCAGUCUGAUUGCCAUGUGAGUGUACAAAAAAAUCUGUGAAUGUAAACGGACACACGUACCAAAAAAAUAUACAUCUUUUUUUAUUUAAAUUUAAAAUAUUGCCAGCUUGGUAUUCACAGGUGUUUCAUGAGGUGUUUAUUAUUGUUAUUUGUUAGCUCAAUAUUAUUCAUUGUUGUAGCUAUGAUUUGUAAAAAAUAAAAUCAUAAUAUUAUUUCUGUGUAGAUAAGGGAAGGCCUGUUUUAAAGUGAAAACAUCCCAGACAGACAAACCAGUGUAUGAAUCAAAUGUAUUUGCAUAUAAAUGGAGUGGAAAGUGGAUGACUUUGUGAUCAGCAAGGUAAGAAACAAUGUGUGGAGGGGUUCAUUAAAAUAUACAUGUUUUUUUUUUACCCCAAUGUCUAUUUAUUCAUAAAAAGCAGAAGAUGGCAAGUAACAUUAAUAGGAAUACAUUAGCCUGAUCGGUAACAAAUAUGACGUGGGGAAAAGUCAGGGCCCUCAUUUAUUAACGUUGUGUACGAAUAGAAAUGUUCGUAAACCAUGCGUGCGAUCAUUUCUAAGCAAAGUGGGAUAUAUCCAUUUGUACUUAUACUUGAAUGUGUGUAAAAAUUUAAGCGGACCUCUGACCAUGUGGUAGAAAAGUCAAACUGCUAAUGAAAUGCCAUCCACCAAAUGGAGAAAGGAUUGACAUACUGGACCCAAAUCAUAAACUAUGACGAAAAAAGUUAAUACAUGAAUAGUUUCUUUUUCUUUUAUAGACACUUAAGCUACUAAUAGUUUUCUUAGGGUGCUAUCGAAUAUAUAAACAUGAAACCAUUUAAGCCUAAUUGAAUAAAGUUCAUUAGAAAGAGUGGAAUGUAAGGUUGGAGGCAAUUUAGUUAAACCAGUUAAAUAAUAUAAAAGGCAACACUGAGGCAUUGUGACUUGUCCAAAAUGGCAAAUAUUGCAUUGCUGGAGGAUCUGGCACAAGCCCCAUUAUGCAGGGAGUGUAUUUUCAAUGCGCAUGCAGAUUUUUUUUGCUGAGUGCGACGCUUGACCUAUUAGAUUUCGUUUUCAAGGCAUAUUUUAUUGUGUCUCUGUAACCAACUCUAACCAGUAUUAGAAAGGGAGACGAAACGCCCCAGUGCAUACCAACGUCUUCUCCCUGGGAGUUUUAGCCACUGGAACAUUCUAACGGCAGAAUGCAGAUCGGUCAGGCAUUUUAAAACCAACCAGGAGCCGAAUAUUGCCUGCAGUCCUCAUGGCAUUAUUUAAUUGAUCCCACAAUACAUACAGUUUCCGUGCAACAGGCCAGAGUGAAAAGGAUUUCCAUAGCUGGAUUUCCCAAUGUCAUUGGAGAAAUUGACUGCAACCACAUCACAAUAAAAGCACCACUGAACAAAUUCAACUUCGUCAAAACUAAAGGUUUCCAUUCUGUCAAUGUGCAGGUCGUCUGUGAUUCACAUUUGGCUUUGUUGAAUGUAGUGGCCAAACGGCCAGGUGGGGGACAAUUAAUUCAUUGUGCAAAACAGUUCAGUUGGCCUUCACCUCCAGGAAGGAGCUGUUGAGGAUGGAUGGCUUAUUGGUAAGCAACACAUUUCAUUUGCAAGGUUUCAUUUGCCAUGUUAGACCUCUACUGGGAAACUAAAUGUUGUGUUCAUAACUGCAGGAGACCGGGGCUACCAAAUUAAAACAUGGCUGAUGACUCCUCUCAAACCAAUGUACAAUCAAGCCCACGCAUGCAUAAGAACAGUGGAGCGCACCAUAGGCCUGCUGAAAUGGCGUUGGCUGUUCUUGUCUGGGACAGCAAUACCAGCCUAGCAAGGCUUUCCUCAAAUGACAUUCUUUCAAAUGCCAUUAUGUGAAUGUAAUACAAUGUGAAAAUUCCUUUUUAGGUUUGCUACAUUGUCAAGGCUUGCAGUGUGCUCAACAAGAGUCAAUAUCAUACGGUUUUAGGUAUGUUCUUCCAAAUAUAAUCAAAUCGACAAGGAAAACGCGUUUACAUUGCACCAGAAUUUGUCUCACAUGUUUGACACAAACAAGUUAUUUCAAUUAUUGUUUCUUUCUCCAGCAGUUGCGAACAUCCACCAGUUGCUGUUUGAAUCUGAGAAUUGAUGUGUUGAUCUCUUCUUGUUGUUUCAGGACUGCGUCAGCCAAAGCAGCUGAAGCGCUCACCAACGAGGACACCCUUGUAGCCCUGGAAAUGGCUGAGGGGUCAGGCAAAUCAGCCACCUCUGUGAAGACUUCAUGUUUUGUUAUAUUUAUUUUGUUACAUAUAACAAAUAUGUAGAUGUGGCCCAUGUCUGAAUAUGGUUGCAAAAAUAAAGCUUGACUUACCAUCA